GCACCUGCACCUGCACUCGGACUCGCACACGCACACGCACACGCACACAUUCUCCACAGCAUGAUGGAUUUAUAUGUGAACCAGUUUCAUUCGCUAUAGGGAUUCUAGAUGUUAUUUCCUAGCCAGCCUGCUAACUAUGCCAAAAUUUCUUUUUACCCUUCUGAGUCUGCAUGGUCAGACAUUGUUAACCAUCAAGAUGCGUGUAGUGUUUAUUUAGUUGUCUUAUAUGGUGGCUGAAAUUUGCCAUUCAGAAGAUAUCUUGGUCUAACCUUUGGUUAUGGAGAAAGUGCUAAAACCCGAGUACCUGCAAAUACGUUGCCGAAACGAACUAGAACUAAUUGUCACAACCAUUUGAUGUUGUGACGGGCUAAACUUCACCAUGUUGGCAUACUUGUUGGGGUUGCGGGUAAAGGGGUGGCUCAGUUGAAUUUCUUUUUUCUGUUGAACGAGCUUGUUUUGAACUUUAGCUCUCGUCAUCAUGUAGCAAUAAGCAAGAUAAGUUUCUUUGUCCUUUCUAUUUGCAACAUCAUUUGGUGACGUGUUGAUUUUUGUAGGGGAGAUAAAAGACACCCUGUAGCACAAGAAUGAUGGCAAGCUGUUGGUUGUUGUGAGCUGAUUUUAACCAUUCAAUACCUUCCCAAAUUAUGAAGAGGAGCGUCUGGAAAUGGCAUCUGUGAAAUCAUCUCUGAAACCUUUCUUUUUCAUUUUUGAAUGUGAAACCUUCCUUUUUCUGUAUGGAGUUCGAUAUUGAUAAAUGUAUUUUCACUUCAACACUGCCAUGGUAAAUAGUUCUUGUUUUGUUUAGUGUGCGUGGAACUGGAAACUUUUGAAUGACAAACUUGUUCCUUUGCUGUCAGAUCUACGAAAUUGAAUAGAUUACUCCUCGAGGUCACUAGUCUAUGUUUGCAUAAACAUAUAGAAAUGAAUGUGAAUAAUAAAUGAUUAGUACUUGUGGAUUCCAUAAAAUAUGUGAAUGAAAAGAGAUUUGACUUUCAGCCAUUAUAGACGCUUGCCAACUUAGUCUGUUGUGUUCUCCAAAAGUUGUAUUAAGGGUAGAUGUAUUCUUUAAUAUGUAAUUGGGUGGUCUUUUGCUUGGAUCACUUGCAGCCUGGAAACUAGUGGCAGUGCCGAUUUAACGAAUGGCCAUUUUAU
rnacentral:lncRNA from 1 species